rnacentral:rRNA from 1 species
GACAGAGGUGCCAAGCGUUAGGCGGAAUCACUGGGCUUAAAGCGUGUGUAGGCGGUUGCCUAAGUACCUUGUGAAAUCCCACGGCUCAACCGUGGAACUGCUCGGUAUACUGGGUGCCUUGAGCCACUUAGGGGCUACCGGAACAAAUGGUGGAGCGGUGAAAUGCGUAGAUAUCAUUUGGAACGCCAAUGGUGAAAACAGGUAGCUGGGAGUGUGCUGACGCUGAGACACGAAAGCCAGGGGAGCGAACGGG